CAGUAGCCACGGGAAUACAGAGGGUGCGAGCGUUAAUCGGAUUUACUGGGCAUAAAGCGUGCGUAGGCGGCUUCUUAAGUCGGAUGUGAAAUCCCUGAGCUUAACUUAGGAAUUGCAUUCGAUACUGGGAAGCUAGAGUAUGGGAGAGGAUGGUAGAAUUCCAGGUGUAGCGGUGAAAUGAGUAGAGAUCUGGAGGAAUACCGAUGGCGAAGGCAGCCAUCUGGCCUAAUACUGACGCUGAGGUACGAAAGCAUGGGGAGCAAACAGGAUUAGAUACCCCUGUAGUCCCUGUCUCUUAUAC
rnacentral:rRNA from 1 species